GUGAGGAAUAUUGCGCAAUGGGCGAAAGCCUGACGCAGCGACGCCGCGUGGAGGAUGAAGGUCUUCGGAUUGUAAACUUCUGUUAAGUGGGAAGAAAGGGCUGUUUUUAAUAGAAGCAGUUAAUGACGGUACCAUUAAAGAAAGCACCGGCUAAACUCGUGCCAGCAGCCGCGGUAAUACGAGUGGUGCAAGCGUUAUUCGGAAUAAUUGGGCGUACAGGGUGUGUAGGCGGUAUGUUAAGUCUGUUGUUAAAGACUCCGGCCUAACCGGAGACAGGCAGCGGAAACUGGCGUACUAGAGGGUGGAAGAGAGAAGUGGAAUUCUCGGUGUAGCGGUAAAAUGCGUAGAUAUCGAGAGGAACACCGAUGGCGAAGGCAGCUUCUUGGUCCAUACCUGACGCUGAAACACGAAAGCGUGGGGAGCAAACAGGAUUAGAAACCCGAGUAGUCC
rnacentral:rRNA from 1 species